rnacentral:misc_RNA from 1 species
GCUAGUAAUAAAUUUCCAGCUCCAUUUUUCAAACCAAUUCGAUCCCUUCAUUUUUCUGGAAAAAUUGCCUUUAGCCAACUGCUGAGAGAUGUUGACUGAGCUAUAGCUGAAUGCAUGAGGAUGCAAUAUAUAGACGAUAGUAUACUCCAAAGUCCAAACUCCAUCUCUUUGCAGUGAGGAGUCUGUGGGAGAAGAACCCAAUAACUGCCUUAUUGGUUUCCAGUGUCCACCUAUAGAAAUAAAUGAUUCUUUCCCGCGUAACUUGCAACUUAACUGGUUCGCUUCAUUUUCUUCCACCCAAAUCUGAAAUGCUCAUGCCAUUUCCUAUGCAUGAGAAAUAAGAAUGUGUUUGGAUGAGGGGGAAAGAGGGAUAAACAGAUGUAAGGAAUGAUAAGUGUGAUAUGUAUCUUAUUUAGAAAAUGGGUGAAUUAAUGGAGGG